rnacentral:rRNA from 1 species
AACGAACGCUGGCGGCAGGCCUAACACAUGCAAGUCGAACGCCCUAGCAAUAGGGAGUGGCAGACGGGUGAGUAACACGUGGGAACCUUCCCUAUAGUACGGAAUAGCUCAGGGAAACUUGAAGUAAUACCGUAUACGCCCGAGAGGGGAAAGAUUUAUCGCUAUAGGAUGGGCCCGCGUCGGAUUAGCUAGUUGGUGAGGUAAUGGCUCACCAAGGCGACGAUCCGUAGCUGGUUUGAGAGAACGACCAGCCACACUGGGACUGAGACACGGCCCAGACUCCUACGGGAGGCAGCAGUGGGGAAUAUUGGACAAUGGGCGCAAGCCUGAUCCAGCCAUGCCGCGUGGGUGAUGAAGGCCUUAGGGUUGUAAAGCUCUUUAGCAGGGAAGAUAAUGACUGUACCUGCAGAUAAGCUCCGGCUAACUUCGUGCCAGCAGCCGCGGUAAU